UUCUCUCUUACUCUCUUUCUCUCUCUCUCUCUCUCUCUCUCUCUCUCUCUCUUUCUUUCUCUCUGUCUCGUUAGAUACGCGAGAACGUGAUACUCUCGCAGACGCUCCAUGUGAUGAUUAAUAGCGCGAUUCGUGCAGAAACGGCGGAGGCAGACAAGCGCGAUAAUAAUCUUCGUAAUCGUCGGUGCAUCGUUUGCGACUCGAUGCUUUCCAACAAUUGGAAAACUCCGAAUAUCAAUUGAAGGCAAACGCUAGUAUGAGGCAUCCAUCACACGUCUUAUUCCUCGAGUUCUUCGCCGUCCUCGUAAUUUCUUCCGUGGCUUCUGCUCCUCCAGGCCGCGGCACAAAGCAGCUUUUUUUGCCGAGCUUCCUCAACAGUGGCCCCUUUGUCGCGCGAAAUUUCGUACCACCCAUCAAGCGCGUGUUGCCUUCAAAUUUCAACAAGCAGAAAAUUAUUUUAAUGUAUACGAAAAAAAAAUCGUCAUUUAUAAAUAAAGGAGACGUUGCUUGUGUGCUAUUGACGAGAAAUCUGAAUAGGAUCUCGACCGACUUGAUUCUCUUUGGAUACAAAAAGGUUUUAUGAAAUGCUUACGGCGUUAGAAGUUAUCAAGACAAAAGCUUAAAAAAAUACCUUACAAAAUUAUGCGUUGCGAUUAUUUAAUGUAAUUUUAUUUUGAAGAUAUUGACGCGUAAAUUUUAAUCAUAAUCGUCGGUGCAGACUUCGCUUCAGUUUAUACAUAUGUUACGUCCUUAUCCGGGACGCUCACACAGAAUCGCCCGUCAUCGUUGUUGUGGUAGCGAUAUUGACGCUGACCGUGACACACGUAACACCCUGGCUCACAGAGUCGCGUAUUGUGAAAAAAUCUCGCGUUUCAAAAGCCGCCAGCAGCACACGCAUCGUCCUCGAGGUUCGCCGUUAGCGUCUUACGCAGCCGCGUCUUCAGAUCACUAACUAAAUAGCGCUUUUUUGCCGCGGCUGUGGGUCUGCAUGUGCUCGGUCUGUUUGUAAGAGGGCCAGGGCAAACGAGGCGACAACGUUGCGUGAUCACGCGUGUCUAUGUAAAAAGCGGAGAAUUUGAGAAUCCGAGAAGGGUGAAAAAAAAAGAUGCGGUUAACCCACUUCGUGGAGGCUUAGGAUAAGUUUAUUUAGUCGACCACUUCCUGUUCCGCGUUUCAGCCGACUAUAGCUAUGCGAUCGCGGCUCCCACAAAUCCUAUGGCGAUUAAUGAUUCCAAAAGAAAAAAAAAAUAUUUAAAAUUUUAAUUCUACAAAAAUACGAUGCUCAUCUUUGAAAUUUCAAUGAGACAUCAAAGUUGUUCCGAGGCUGUCUAGUUAUAUCUAAUUAUAACCGCGAUAUAAAGCGCGGCAAUGUAACUAAUAUCGCGAUAAAUGUGAAAUAUCGUGCACGCGUAUUUUUAUCUACGAGUCUAAUGGACAUUAUAAAAACUCGACAUUGUAUCUCAAACUGGCAACUUUAUUCGGUUGAUCUAUUACGUGACUGCGUAACACGGGCACGUCGUUCGCCGUAAGAUUUUACGCUUCAUUCUCGUAUCCUCGUGUCUCAUCCAUAGAUUUUUUACUAUAUCUAUGGUCUCAUCCUCGCCGACACAUUUAUUCAUGCCGCAAAAAAAAAUAAAAAU